GGUCCCACCGCGCCGGUUGUCGCCGCGCGAAGCCGCCCGGGCCCCGGGACACAAGGACCCGAAUCAGGAGAGUCUCUCCAGUCGGCAUGGUGGCUCUGGCCGUCCCCGAAGCGCGUGCUGGACGUGGGGGAAACAGAGAUGGGCAGGCGUUGGCAGGAGAGCAGAGGAGGAAACAGGCACCGGGGUCCUGUUAGGAUCCCCCUCCCCCAACCUGCUUCAAGGGUAGCCCUGUUCCUGUCUGCCCUCCCCGCCCCCACAGAAAUAGAGAUGAGAAGGGGCAGGCGAAGAACUAGGAGUGUCUGCGAGACCAUCCCAGGACCCUGAGCCCCCCAACUCUCUGCAUCCCAGGGCUGACUUCGACAUGAAGCGCCUCCUCUCAGGCGCACCGGGAGGGAAGAGGAAUGUGUUCUUGAAAUGGCCGCCCCCUUGGCCGGGCGCGGUGGCUCACGCCUUUAAUCCCAGCAUUUUGGGAGGCGGAGGCGGGUGGAUCACGAGGUCAGGAGUUCGAGACUCAGCCAGACCAACAUGGUGAAACCCUGUUUCUACUAAAAAUUAUCCGGGAGUGGUGACAAGCGCCUGUAAUCCCAGCUACUGAGACAGGAGAAUCGUUUGACCCUGAGAGGCGGAGGUUGCAGUGAGCCAAGAUAGUGCCAUUGCACUCCAGCCUGGGCGACAGAGCGAGACUCCAUCUCAAAAAACAAAAAAAAAAAAAAGAAAAGGAAUCUCCGCCCCCUCCUUGCUGCUGAUGGCAAGACUGGCCCCUCCACCCAGUGUUCUGCCCAUGACACCCCCCCCUCAGGUGCAGCUGCCCAGCUUGUGGGAGAGCUUCCCUCCGCAGACCUUGGCCCAAUCACAGGACAUCAGGAGAACACACUGUCCCUGGGAAAAAGGAUUCUGCCCCAGCCGCCCACCUGCCUUCAGCACCCUCAGCCUUGGCGCUCGAGUGCCUCCAAUGCUACCCACACACACCUGCCUUCCUGCCCCAUUAAUGCUCUGUCGGGCCUUGGGCACAGACUCCAAGGGGUAGGCAGUGGCUGCCCCUCCCCAAGCCAACAGCCUGAGCUCCAUGGGGACCAGCCACCCUAGAGCCAUAACCCUUGGACCAUAACCAGCCAUGCAGAGUUGGGGGCGGCAAGGGCUGGUUCCUUUUUCUCCCUCCGGCUCCUCAGGUCACAGGAAGGUCAGGCUACCAGUUUGAGCCCCCAGGGGGCCAUGGUGGGGGAGUCUGGGCCAUGCCCCAAUAGUCUCAGGUGCUUCCUCUUUGACAACAGUCCCCAGAAUCCCCAUUCCCCCGCACACUGCUCCCCACCCCAGGAGUGGGUCUUCGACUCCCAGACCCACCACAGUCAUUUUUCUCAGCCAGGAUCUUAUGACCCUCACAAUAGCUGUUGUUGACAUGUUGAAUAUUAUUAACCCA
rnacentral:lncRNA from 10 species